rnacentral:rRNA from 1 species
CAUGGGAUAAUGGAAUAGGACCCUGUCCUCCUAUUUUCAGUUGGUUUGCCGCGAGGACCAGGGUAAUGAUUAAUAGGGAUAGUUGGGGGCAUUAAUAUUUAAUUGUCAGAGGUGAAAUUCUUGGAUUUAUGAAAGAUUAACUUCUGCGAAAGCAUCUGCCAAGGAUGUUUUCAUUAAUCAAGAACGAAAGUUAGGGGAUCGAAGACGAUCAGAUACCGUCGUAGUCUUAACCAUAAACGAUGCCGACCAGCGAUUAGGAGACGUUGAAUACAAAACACCACCAUGCGCAUUGCGGUCGUCUUUGGUGUCGCUCACAAGGCGGCACCGGGGCGGCUUAGCUCGCAUGGCACCGGUGAAUGACUCCCCUAG